UGCAGAGAUGUUGCACGCCCUACCUUCAA
rnacentral:piRNA from 1 species